GACGAACGCUGGCGGCGUGCUCAACCCAGGCAAGUCGAACGGAAGGGCCCUGCUUUGGGGGGGUGCUCGAGGGCCAAACGGGGGAGUACCAGGUGGGUAACCUCCCCUUGAUUUUGGGAUAACUCAGGAAAAUUGGGCCAAAAACCGGUAAGAAGCUCUUGUUGCUUGGUGGGGGUUGGAAGUUUCAGGCGGUUGGGGAUGGACUCGCGGCUAACCAGCUUGUUGGUGGGGUGGUGGCUUACCAAGGCUUUGACGGGUAGCCGGCCUGAGAGGGUGCCCGGCCACAUUGGGACUGAGAUACGGCCCAGACUCCUACGGGAGGCAGCAGUGGGGAAUAUUGCACAAUGGGCGGAAGCCUGAUGCAGCAACGCCGCGUGCGGGAUGACGGCCUUCGGGUUGUAAACCGCUUUCGCCUGUGACGAAGCGUGAGUGACGGUAAUGGGUAAAGAAGCACCGGCUAACUACGUG
rnacentral:rRNA from 1 species